rnacentral:rRNA from 1 species
AGUGAACGCUGGCGGUAGGCCUAACACAUGCAAGUCGAACGGCAGCACAGUAAGAGCUUGCUCUUACGGGUGCCGAGUGGCGGACGGGUGAGGAAUACAUCGGAAUCUACUUUUUCGUGGGGGAUAACGUAGGGAAACUUACGCUAAUACUGCAUACGACCUAAGGGUGAAAGCAGGGGAUCUUCGGCCCUUGCGCGAUUGAAUGAGCCGAUGUCGGAUUAGCUAGUUGGCGGGGUACCGGCCCACCAAGGCGACGAUCCGUAGCUGGUCUGAGAGGAUGAUCAGCCACACUGGAACUGAGACACGGUCCAGACUCCUACGGGAGGCAGCAGUGGGGAAUAUUGGACAAUGGGCGCAAGCCUGAUCCAGCCAUACCGCGUGGGUGAAGAAGGCCUUCGGGUUGUAAAGCCCUUUUGUUGGGAAAGAAAAGCAGCAGGUUAAUACCCCGCUGUUCUGACGGUACCCAAAGAAUAAGCACCGGCUAACUUCGUG